ensembl:lncRNA novel transcript
AUCGUGACUAUGUAACCAGUAUUGGUCGGUGGCCCAAGGUCUCUCUCCUUUCAGGGUUCAACCUCCAACCUUAUUUCUGCUUCCUUCAUGUUGGAAUUCACACUGUGAGUGCUGCUACCAUAUUCUGCGUUGGAUGUGAGUUCUCAAGUUCUGGUCCAUGGGGAAUGGGCAAGUGAAGAUGAGAAUUGCAAAAAACUAUACUCCGACCAAUAGAAUUGUUGUCAUCCUUUCUCUACGACUCCAAGAGAAACUUUAUACUGGAGGAAGAAUAUUCUACCACUUUGGGAUGCUUCCAAAGAAAUGGGAUACCAAAGGAGUGAACUUCAGGUCAUUGGAAGUGGCCAAGCUGGAGGGCGACCUAUGGAGACAUGGGAAUAGGGAGACCAGAGGAGAGGGGAGAGAUAGGGGAAUUGCCGGUCAGUGGAACAGUCAGAACACAGACAACAUUUACUGACCUUCUCGAGGAUAUUGGAGAUAUUCUGCCCUGCCUGCCACCUCUCACCUCCUCUUUCCUGGAGCAGGAGGAGUGACUUACCUGUUUGCUGGGAAGGGGAGAAAUUAACACCCACUGCUCCACGUGGGAAAGAAGGAUGUAUUAAAUUAAAGGUCUCCAUUCUCAAA